rnacentral:rRNA from 1 species
AGUGAACGCUGGCGGUAGGCCUAACACAUGCAAGUCGAACGGCAGCACAGUAAGAGCUUGCUCUUACGGGUGGCGAGUGGCGGACGGGUGAGGAAUACAUCGGAAUCUACUUUUUCGUGGGGGAUAACGUAGGGAAACUUACGCUAAUACCGCAUACGACCUACGGGUGAAAGCAGGGGAUCUUCGGACCUUGCGCGAUUGAAUGAGCCGAUGUCGGAUUAGCUAGUUGGCGGGGUAAAGGCCCACCAAGGCGACGAUCCGUAGCUGGUCUGAGAGGAUGAGCGGCCACACUGGAACGGAGACACGGGCCAGACUCCUCCGGGAGGCAGCAGUGGGGAAUGUUGGACAAUGGGCGCAAGCCUGAUCCAGCCAUACCGCGUGGGUGAAGAAGGCCUUCGGAUUGUAAAGCCCUUCUGUUGGGAAAGAAAAGCAGCAGGUUAAUACCCCGCUGUUCUGACGGUACCCAAAGAAUAAGCACCGGCUAACUUCGUG